rnacentral:rRNA from 1 species
AGAGUUUGAUCAUGGCUCAGAACGUACGCUGGCGGCACGCCUAACACAUGCAAGUCGAACGAAGUAGCAAUACUUAGUGGCAGACGGGUGAGUAACAUGUAGGUAUCUGCCCUUUGGCCUGGAAUAACACGAGGAAACUUGUGCUAAUACCGGAUAAGUCUUUACGGAGAAAGCUUUAUGCACCAUUGGAUGAGCCUGCACUUGAUUAGUUUGUUGGUGGGGUAAUGGCCUACCAAGACUGUGAUCAAUAGCUGAUUUGAGAGGAUGAUCAGCCACAUUGGGACUGAGACACGGCCCAAACUCCUACGGGAGGCAGCAGUGGGGAAUCUUGCACAAUGGAGGAAACUCUGAUGCAGCGAUGCCGCGUGAGUGAAGAAGGCCUUUGGGUUGUAAAGCUCUUUCGUCGGGGAAGAAAAUGACUGUACCCGAAUAAGAAGGUCCGGCUAACUUCGUGCCAGCAGCCGCGGUAAUACGAAGGGACCUAGCGUAGUUCGGAAUUACUGGGCUUAAAGAGUUCGUAGGUGGUUGAAAAAGUUAGUGGUGAAAUCCCAGAGCUUAACUCUGGAACUGCCAUUAAAACUUUUCAGCUAGAGUAUGAUAGAGGAAAGCAGAAUUUCUAGUGUAGAGGUGAAAUUCGUAGAUAUUAGAAAGAAUACCAAUUGCGAAGGCAGCUUUCUGGAUCAUUACUGACACUGAGGAACGAAAGCAUGGGUAGCGAAGAGGAUUAGAUACCCUCGUAGUCCAUGCCGUAAACGAUGUGUGUUAGACGUUGGAAAUUUAUUUUCAGUGUCGCAGCGAAAGCGAUAAACACACCGCCUGGGGAGUACGACCGCAAGGUUAAAACUCAAAUGAAUUGACGGGGACCCGCACAAGUAGUGGAGCAUGUGGUUUAAUUCGAAGAUACGCGCAGAACCUUACCAACACUUGACAUGUUCGUCGCGACUUUAAGAGAUUAAAGUUUUCGGUUCGGCCGGACGAAACACAGGUGCUGCAUGGCUGUCGUCAGCUCGUGUCGUGAGAUGUUGGGUUAAGUCCCGCAACGAGCGCAACCCUCACUUUUAGUUGCCAUCAUUAAGUUGGGCACUCUGAAAGAACUGCCAGUGAUAAGCUGGAGGAAGGUGGGGAUGACGUCAAGUCCUCAUGGCCCUUACGUGUUGGGCUACACACGUGCUACAAUGGUAUCUACAACAGGAAGCAAAACUGCGAAGUUAAGCAAAUCCUUAAAAGAUACCUCAGUUCGGAUUGCACUCUGCAACUCGAGUGCAUGAAGCUGGAAUUACUAGUAAUCGUGGAUCAGCGUGCCACGGUGAAUGCGUUCCCGGGUCUUGUACACACCGCCCGUCACACCAUGGGAGUUGGUUCUACCUUAAGGCAAGGUUUCAAACCCUUGACCACGGUAUAGUCAGCGACUGGGGUGAAGUCGUAACAAGGUAGCCGUAGGGGAACCUGCGGCUG